ensembl:lncRNA
AUCACUUUACUCAAGAGCCCAAGAGUUGCCAAAAAGUGUCUUUAUAUAUUUUCAUGUUGAUGACUUCAGGCUCGGCAUUCAUUUGUAGAAUACCAAGUUUGUAUGUCACUCAUUUGUUUCCAUAAAAGCGAAUUCAGUUUGAUUUUUAUCAGUACGAAUGAAUAAAAAUCAGCCCGCUACACAAAACCCCCAAACCGACGUUAGCUUCCCGGCGAAAGUUUCCUUCCUUUCCAGCUCACAAAUUAAAGCCUAUAAUCGGUUUGCUUGUAAAACAGCUAAUUAGCUGCUCAGCUGCAGAGGAUUACACAGCAUGUGAACCGGGGGGGUCGAACCUUUUGAUUGUGGACUAUUUACAGAAAGCAGAAAGAGUCACAGGCCAAACAAUGGUCUCUGUAGUUCCUUUAAGCCGCCACACAGCGAGUUCAUCACUGGACACUAUGCAUAGUAAUGGCUUGCCCACAUAUUACAAAAAGUAAUCGGCUGCCUUGUAACUACGAUGCGUAAUAUGGUGCAUGAUGGGUAAGAUGAACACAGUUUUCCGGGCUGCAGGGUGACAGCAAACAGACUCACUUUCACCCAGAAAACCGCUGUCUGUGUCACAAAGGCUCCCCAACAGCUGUUGUGUCAUUUCAUGUAUGUCUAUGAGAUUGUGUCACACAGCCACACACAAAGGAGCAUCAGUGAUUAUUCCCUAGAAAUACUUUUUAAUCUAAUAAUAAAAAAGCAUCACAAAUACAUUUUAAUAGCCAUGAUGACAAUAUAUCCGGAAAUCUAAUGUUUCACAUAUAAGUCAAACAAAAGAGACAAACAUAAGUCAAAUAAAAAAAUCCAACAUUUGUUAUUUGUUACCAGUUCAGAAAGGUUCUGCUAAUUUCUGUAAAAGAGUUACCUGAGAUCCCCGUGUGACAUUUUUGUUCUUUGUUUUUUACGUUGAGUUUCGCAGUGAAGGUCCAGCAGCGACUCUACUUUCCGUGUCCGUGUAAAACAAAGCCUCCUCUGGAGUUUACAGGUGAACAGAACACAGAAAAGGCUUUUCUAUUAGUGGACAAGCACAUAUUUACUCCAAUUCAAAUGGAAGAAGAACAGUAGGUCAAAACGUCGUUCUGAUUCAUUAACCGGAGGUAGAGAGCAGCCAGAAUGACAUUUAUUAAUAGGAAAAUGUCCCAGUAUGACAUCGGCUUAAGAGCUCCUGCACACAGAGAGCGGACCUCGGCGUGGCCUCCUGGGAGAUCAGCCUUUUCUGAUAUGACGCCAAUAUCAAAAGGUCAACACUGUGUAAGCCUACAAGUGCACACGCCAACUGUCACGAGCCGCUGCUGGAAAACAUAGCAGUUUCACAUCGGCAGCAAGGUUUGUUUGAAAGGAUUUAACAGUUAACAGAACGAUCCUUGUCGCGGUUAAAACGACCACUUUGUGAUGAUGAGGAGAACUUUGUCUUCGUGAUGGCAGUAAGGUCAAGAAGCGACCCGGAAGUGACCACAUCUGGACUGCAGAGGAGUGACGUAGAGAUACUGCUCAGGUAGCGACCAGUCAAUCCCAAGGUAGCCCCGCCCUAAAGCGCUCCUCGGCCUUAUGGUCCGUUUCAGAACCCGAGGGGUUCCAGUAGAGGAGAACACCGUGCAUGGAACCUAUUCCACCUUUUUGACACAUGCACGAGUUCCCUUUUUAAAGACCAAAUCCUAAACUUCUAUUCUUGAGCUUUGAGUGUUGAGGCGGUUUUACGUUUACGCCUUAAAUCAACAGAUGAAAAGGUAAAGUCACCCUUGAUACCGUAAAGGUCACGUCUACGCCGCCUGCUCCGCAGCCUUUGAACAAACCGGGACGUUGCCACGGCAACCUCGAGUUUGCAGCAGGCGACGUCAGUAUCAGCUGACGCUGAUGUGAGAUGACAAGGCCGCCCGGAGAGUAGGGGAGGGGGGAAAAAGAAAUAAUUGAGGAGCUCGCCGGGGACUUGAAGACGUUUGGCGUGUGGCGGAACCAAAGUGACACAAACUGACGGAGAAGAUGGAGCUACGGAGCUGGACAGAAGAGGAGAGAUGAAAAGAUGACAGUGAGGGUUUUUCUCCUCCUCAAACCGGCUAUUUGUUUUUACUCUAAACUCACACACACACACACACACACACACACACACACACGGCCUUGUUGUCCUCAGAGAUUAAGCAAUUGAAUGUGUAUUCCUUCGUAAUCCCGCCCCGCUGGGUAUUAACAAGGAAACCUCCAUCAGAAGAGUGGAGCAGGUGUGAGGUGUCAUCAUCCUCAUCCUCGUCCUCAUCCUCCUCGUCCUCGUCCUCGUCCUCAUCAUCAUCCUUGUCCUCGUCCUCGUCCUCAUCCUCGUCCUCAUCCUCCUCGUCCUCAUCAUCAUCCUCGUCCUCGUCUUCGUCCUCGUCCUCGUCCUCCUCAUCCUCGUCCUCAUCCUCCUCGUCCUCAUCCUCAUCAUCAUCAUCCUCGUCCUCGUCCUCAUCCUCAUCAUCAUCCUCGUCCUCAUCAUCAUCCUCGUCCUCAUCAUCAUCCUCGUUCUCGUCCUCAUCCUCAUCAUCCUCGUCCUCAUCCUCAUCAUCAUCCUCGUCCUCAUCAUCAUCCUCGUCCUCAUCAUCAUCCUCGUUCUCGUCCUCAUCCUCAUCAUCCUCGUCCUCAUCCUCAUCAUCAUCCUCGUCCUCAUCCUCGUCCUCAUCCUCGUCCUCAUCAUCAUCCUCAUCAUCAUCUCCUCAUCCUCGUCCUCAUCCUCAUCAUCCUCAUCCUCGUCCUCGUCCUCGUCCUCGUCCUCAUCAUCCUCAUCCACAUC